rnacentral:lncRNA from 1 species
GCACAGUGGAAGGUCAGAAUGGGGAAGGUAGGACUUGGGGAGAGCCAGAAAGCUGGGCCACAGAAUGCCCAUCAUGUGGCUUUGGCAGGGAUACCUUCUCCCCUGUCUCCUGCGAUGACACAGAAAAUACAUCCGAGGAAGUGGUUUCAGGAUUCCCCUGGGAAAAGCGGACACAAAGAUAUUGAAAGUAUAUUUGUGCAAAGACAAAACAGUAAAUGAUGAGAUUCCAAGCCUCUCCAACUCUCUUGCUCUUCUAUUAAUUCUCGGACUUUCUCAUCACUAUCUAAAGAAAAGUCAAGUUGAAGGAGUUAUGUAGUCUCCCCUCCCCCAGCCUGAAACCUGCUUGCUCAGGGGUGGAGCUUCCUGCUCAUUCAUUCUGCCAUGCCCACUGCUGGAACCUGCGGAGCCACACACGUGCACCUUUCUACUGGACCAGAGAUUAUUCGGCGGGAAUCGGGUCCCCUCCCCCUUCCUUCAUAACUGAGUGUCACAACAGUAAAAUUUGAGCUUUGAUCAGAGUAA